rnacentral:rRNA from 1 species
GUGGGUAACCUACCCUCCGGGCCGGGAUAGCUUCGGGAAACUGAAGGUAAUACCGGGCGACGCAGCGAGAUCGCAUGGUCUUGCUGCCAAAGGUCCGCCGCCGGGGGAGGGGCUCACGUGGUAUUAGCUUGUUGGCGGGGUAACGGCCCACCAAGGCUGAGAUGCCUAGCAGGUGUGAGAGCACGACCUGCGCCACUGGCACUGAGGCACUGGCCAGACACCUACGGGUGGCUGCAGUCGAGGAUCUUCGGCAAUGGGCGCAAGCCUGACCGAGCGACGCCGCGUGUGCGAUGAAGGCCUUCGGGUUGUAAAGCACUGUCGAGGGGGAGGAAGCCGCAAGGUUGACCUAUCCCUGGAGGAAGCACGGGCUAAGUUCGUGCCAGCAGCCGCGGUAAGACGAACCGUGCGAACGUUGUUCGGAAUCACUGGGCUUAAAGGGCGCGUAGGCGGACCCCCAAGUCCGGGGUGAAAUCCUCCGGCUUAACCGGAGAAUUGCCUGGGAUACUGGGGGUCUU